GACAGGAUACUAAAUAGCACCAUUUUUAUAUAGCACCAUUAAAUACAACCCAAUCGCAAUUAUAAAAUAAAUAAAUAUAAAUAAAUAGGACUUCUCUCUGCUAUGACCAGGGCUUUGUUUCUCAAAAGCAUCGUAGGCCCAAGUAGAUCGUAGAACCAUUGUCAACACUCACGAUGCUUUUCAGAAACACAGUCCUGUAUCUACAUUAAUAAUUUGAUAUUUAUGAUGACGUAAUAUUUUGUUAAGCUACUUUCCAUCUUCCAUCCAUGUCGUGUUUGUUUCACAAGGGAGACAAUGAAGUGCUGAGAUCAGCAAGGCACCUUUUGUCACUAUUGACACAAGAAAAAGCUGAUGGGCCUUCUACGAGUCAGGGUCUAAACAGAUCAUCUAAUGUCAGAUGCCAAACUCCGGGGCCAUCUUCUGUUCAAACAGAAAUGACCAGGUCCUUUCCUGGAUUAUUUUCAAAUCGUAGAGGAAAACGGCGCUUCACC